GAACCGGACAAACGUUAUUCGGAAUUAUUGGGCUUAAAGGGUGCGUAGGCGGCGCGGUAAGUGAGGUGUGAAAGCCCACGACUCAAUCGUGGAAUUGCGCUUCAUACUGCCGUGCUAGAGGGAGACAGAGGUAAGCGGAACUGAUGGUGGAGCGGUGAAAUGCGUUGAUAUUAUCAGGAACACCGGUGGCGAAGGCGGCUUACUGGGUCUCUUCUGACGCUGAGGCACGAAAGCUAGGGUAGCGAACGGGAUUAGAUACCCCGGUAGUCCUAGCUGUAAACGAUGAGCACUUGGUUGGGGAACCUCCCAUAGUUUCCCGACCGCAGCGAAAGUGUUAAGUGCUCCGCCUGGGGAGUAUGGUCGCAAGGCUG
rnacentral:rRNA from 1 species